CACGUAGUUAGCCGGUGCUUAUUCUUACAGUACCGUCAUGGUCCCAGGGUAUUAACCCAAGACUUUUCGUUCUGUACAAAAGCAGUUUACAACCCGAAGGCCUUCAUCCUGCACGCGGCAUUGCUGGAUCAGGCUUGCGCCCAUUGUCCAAAAUUCCCCACUGCUGCCUCCCGUAGGAGUCUGGACCGUGUCUCAGUUCCAGUGUGGCUGGUCGUCCUCUCAGACCAGCUACAGAUCGUUGGCUUGGUGAGCCUUUACCCCACCAACUACCUAAUCUGCCAUCAGCCGCUCUAGUAGCACAACGGCCCGAAGGUCCCCUGCUUUCAUCCGUAGACUCUCAUGCGGUAUUGCUACUCUUUCGAGUACGUUACUCCCCCACUACUAGGCUACGUUCCGAUGUACUUACUCCUACCCGUUCGCCACUCGUCACGUCCACGAAGUCGCUUCGUUACCGUUCGUACUUGACUGUUAGUAGUAAAAGCUAA
rnacentral:rRNA from 1 species